GGACAUGGAAUUCGAUUUCUCAUCAAUUGUUUCAUGAUGCAGGUCGUAACCUUAAUAAUAACCUAUAUCUUUUGCAACUCAGGCCAAUUACUAAUUGAUGAGUGUGAAAAACUUCAUCGUGACCUAUGCGAGUGCCCAUGGAUUUUAUGGAAUCGAUCGAACAAGGUGAACUACCAAAUAUUUUUAUUUCAUUCAAAAGAAGCAGUCUCCAUCAGUAGCCUGAGCGUGACUCUAAAUAAUAAUCUCUUUGUAAUUAUAAUACAAAGAGCGCUAUCCUUUAUAGCUUUCAUAGAGCAAGUAGCUGCAUCACAUUGAAUACCUUGGCAUACUGACUUCAGAAGAUAUAUCUAAUUUUUUAUUUGCACAAAC